GGAAGUUGGAACAAUAAAAGAUUGCUUGUUAUCUAAAGAAAGCCAGACUGACUAUGGAUAAUCUGCAACCUUGGAAAGCAACCGAGAUGGAAUUACUGCAGUACGUUUUGGUUACUGAGACCCUCGAAUUCCCAUAUGAAUUGUAGUAGCAGCUAGUCAGUUUUUGCAGAGGAGCCUGCUGGGAUUGUAAUCGAAACCACGUUGUAUGUAUGGAUCGCUCUGGGGAGCACUGCCACUCCAAGAACACUGUCUUCUGAUCCAGGAAUGUGCAUGGUGUGUCUGUCCAGGUGAUACUGCUCUGGUUGCUGCCUGUGCCCUACCCCCAGCCUUGGUUUUGGAGUUGAGUGCCCUCACCUCCAGUGGCAUCCAUCCAGACACCAGCACUGACACUGGCCGUGCUCAGAUCUGCCUCAGCCCUGAAGACACAACUGACAAAUAGAAGGGGGCCAUGCCCUGUUACAGCAGGUGCUCUCACUUUGUGGGUCCUUAUGUAACUGCGCAUUGUUAUUCAGGAUCGCCCAUUCUACAUUGUUUGAAGCUGCUGCGGUGUCUCCUAGUUAUUUGUUUCUGAUCUGAGAAGCAGGAGCAAGGAAUUCAGGGAGAGAUCCAGGAAGACAUCUGACUCUGUUAAGAGACGACAUUCACAGCGACAAGGGGAGCGAAGACACUUGCAGCAAAGCAAAAUGAAUUCACAACGAUUGCAUCAGAGCUGCAGGUGUGAGAGAGCCUAAGCCUGUCUCAGAGUGCAGGGGACAAGUGGAAAGGAAUGGUAAAAUUUCCACUGACAAUUGAAAUUUUGUUAAAUAGCCUGCUACUCUUAAUUGUAUCACUUCAUUGUAUGUAGGUGUAUUUCUGUGAGCAUUUAUAGGUUCACACAACCCCACCAGCACCUCUUGCCCCCAUCGGGGAUGGGCUUUCUCAAGCACAGUGCACCUCAUGCUUGAUUGGCCACGCUACGGGUCCUGGCCUGGGGCCGGGUUGCUGCAGGGCACUGAGUCCCCGAGGCACGGGCAGUGAGACAAGACAGGAACAUCUCAGCUCAUGACUGAGGGCCUCCG